GUAGGGAAUAUUGCGCAAUGGGGGAAACCCUGACGCAGCAACGCCGCGUGAGUGAGGAAGGUCUUCGGAUUGUAAAACUCUUUUAUUAGGGAAAAAUGUCUAGGUGGCUAAUAUCCACUUAGAGUGAUGGUACCUAAGGAAUAAGCACCGGCUAACUUCGUGCCAGCAGCCGCGGUAAUACGAAGGGUGCAAGCGUUGUUCGGAAUCAUUGGGCGUAAAGCGCGCGCAGGCGGGUCAGUAAGUCAGGUGUGAAAUCUCGGAGCUCAACUCCGAAACUGCGCCUGAAACUAUUGGUCUAGAGUAUCGGAGGGGACAGGGGAAUUUCACGUGUAGGGGUAAAAUCCGUAGAGAUGUGAAGGAACACCGGAGGCGAAGGCGCCUGUCUGGACGAUUACUGACGCUGAGGCGCGAAAGCGUGGGGAGCAAACAGGAUUAGAUACCCCAGUAGUCC
rnacentral:rRNA from 1 species